UUUCCGUAGGUGAACCUGCGGAAGGAUCAUUAACACUAAUUGAUCACACAUCCCUUUUACCUUACACACACACCAGUACGAACUGUAGUAUUUUUUUAAUCUUUCGUCUGUUUACCUUCAAGAGCCAAGCCUUUCUAGGGCUGAGCUUUCAGCUUUUGAGCUUAGCCCUUUUCGGGAGUCACUAAGCGGAGAAGCUGAAGUGGAGCUGAAGUAAGGCUCUCUUGAGCUUUUUUUUUCAAAACACCUUUUAACCCCAAUUUGGUUAAAAAAAACAAAAUAAAUAUAAAAAAAAAAUAAAUAAUUAUAAACAUUAUUAAAAAAAAACAAUAAGAGAAACAACUCUUAACAAUGGAUAUCUUGGUUCUC
rnacentral:misc_RNA from 1 species